rnacentral:rRNA from 1 species
GACGAACGCUGGCGGCGUGCCUAAUACAUGCAAGUAGAACGCUGAAGAGAGGAGCUUGCUCUUCUUGGAUGAGUUGCGAACGGGUGAGUAACGCGUAGGUAACCUGCCUUGUAGCGGGGGAUAACUAUUGGAAACGAUAGCUAAUACCGCUUAACAAUGGAUGACACAUGUCAUUUAUUUGAAAGGGGCAAUUGCUCCACUACAAGAUGGACCUGCGUUGUAUUAGCUAGUAGGUGAGGUAAUGGCUCACCUAGGCGACGAUACAUAGCCGACCUGAGAGGGUGAUCGGCCACACUGGGACUGAGACACGGCCCAGACUCCUACGGGAGGCAGCAGUAGGGAAUCUUCGGCAAUGGGGGCAACCCUGACCGAGCAACGCCGCGUGAGUGAAGAAGGUUUUCGGAUCGUAAAGCUCUGUUGUAAGUCAAGAACGGGUGUGAGAGUGGAAAGUUCACACUGUGACGGUAGCUUACCAGAAAGGGACGGCUAACUACGUG